rnacentral:tRNA from 1 species
GGACAAUUAGCUCAGCUGGUUAGAGCGCUCGCUUCACACGCGAAAGGUCAGCGGUUCGAAUCCACUAUUGUCCA